UUACUCACUUUGGCAGCACAUAUACUAAAAUUGGAAUGAUACAAAGUUUAGCAUGGCCCCUACAUAAGGAUGACAUGCAAAUUCUUGAAGUGUUCCAUACAAAU